rnacentral:rRNA from 1 species
UACGGAAGGGGACUAGCGUUGUUCGGAAUACUGGGCGUAAAGCGUGCGCAGGCGGUUAUGUAAGACAGUUGUGAAAUCCCCGGGCUCAACCUGGGAACUGCAUCUGUGACUGCAUAGCUAGAGUACGGUAGAGGGGGAUGGAAUUCCGCGUGUAGCAGUGAAAUGCGUAGAUAUGCGGAGGAACACCGAUGGCGAAGGCAAUCCCCUGGACCUGUACUGACGCUCAUGCACGAAAGCGUGGGGAGCAAACAGG